rnacentral:rRNA from 1 species
UACGUAGGUGGCAAGCGUUUUCCGGAAUUAUUGGGCGUAAAGCGCGCGCAGGUGGUUUCUUAAGUCUGAUGUGAAAGCCCACGGCUCAACCGUGGAGGGUCAUUGGAAACUGGGGAACUUGAGUGCAGAAGAGGAAAGUGGAAUUCCAAGUGUAGCGGUGAAAUGCGUAGAUAUUUGGAGGAACACCAGUGGCGAAGGCGACUUUCUGGUCUGUAACUGACACUGAGGCGCGAAAGCGUGGGGAGCAAACAGG